UUCUAGACACAUCCAGGAGGGUCAUCUGAUCAUGAAGAAAUGGUUGAAAGCAAUGAGACACAUCAAGGGGGUCAUCUGCUAAUGAACCCCCUUGGUCGAAAACAACAAGGUAAAUGUCAUCUCAAAUCAGUAGAUUUUCAUUUCUUUUCGCAUGAACCCUAGUUGUGUUCAUGUUUAGUUAUCAUUACCAAGGUCCAGCUAACAAAGUGUAUUGAUGAAUCUUUUAUUAUUAUGGAUGGACCAUGUGUUCUUCAACUUUUGAAACAAAAUAUUUGUAAUUAUUGUGAUAACAC